AUGUAAAUUUCUAUAAAAUUAAUGCACUAGAUUCCAUUUAAACUCUGUAGUUAAGCACACUUGAUUCAUAGUAGUAUUGGGAUGGGAGACCUUCAAAGAAUUCCUAGUGUUUUACAUG
rnacentral:rRNA from 1 species